GCCGGGUAUGGUGGCCCACACCUGUAAUCCCAGCUAUUUGGGAGGCUGAGGCAGGAGAGUCACUUGAACCUGGGAGUCUGAGGUUGCAGUGAGCUAAGAUGGUGCCACUGCAUCCCAGCCUGGGCAACAGAGUGAGAUUCUGUCUCAA
ensembl:misc_RNA Metazoa_SRP Metazoan signal recognition particle RNA